UAGUACUGCGCCUAUAUAAAUAUAUGUUUUCCUCAUAAUAAUCAACCUUAAUAUGUUUCUCAUACAGUAUAAAUGGUUCCUUCUAAAUUGAAAUACAUAGCUGCUUUUAUAGUUUAGGUUAGGAUCAUCGUACAUGGGGAUCCUCAAAAAGCUUGGAAACCCCUUGUUUAGGACAACAUAUAUAUAUAUAUAUAUAUAUAUAUUUAACUCAGAUUUAUCUUGGUUAGGACCAAUUGUUACUAUAUGCCAAUUACAAACAAGUAUAUCAAGAGCUUAGAUUAGCAAUCAAGCAUAUCAUAUGCCACAAAUAGGUAUAUUAAAUGUCAGAACAUACUGCAUUAGUUUUAAUACAGUCAGCUUGAAUUUAAUUGUUUUAUUACUAUCAUUGAUCAUAAUCAUCUUUGCACAAAAAGAAAAAAAAAAAACAUCUGGUGUAUUUCUAUGCGAACCCCCCUAACCCAACAGCAAAGAGUCUGACACAAAUAAUAAAAUUACAGCAACGAAAAACUUGUGUGAAUAAAAACAAUCAACCCUGAAGAAAAAUAAACGAUACUUAAGAUAAUUGGAUCCCAGCACCUUGAACAAAUGAUCAUUUGUGAGAACAGCAAAGUACAUGACAAAAAAAAAAGAUAAUCAUUAUUUUCUAUGAAGGUAUAAAACACACAUGUGCACAGUUGUCCCCCAAAACUGGUGACGGACUUUUUAAGGAGAUCUGAUCCCAACCCCCUUCCUCUUUACACAACAGAGGUGACAGUGAGCCCGAUGUCAACUAGAGGAUGCAUGCAAGCAUGUACAGCUCAGCAGAAAUGGAUGGAAACACACUGUGACUCUCUAGCUCAUAGUCAGUGUACCUUUUUGCUCUCUUUUACGCAGACACAUCUGCAGGUUGGUUCCCAUCUGCUCGAAUGACUGAUCUGCUUGUGUGAGAAUGACAUCCGAACUGAUUUUAAUAGUGAAAAUAAUGCCAACAAAAUAUUGGAAUUAACAGAACGCCAAUAUUUGACUCUUCAUGGCAGGUACUUGUUGUCUCAAGGCUACGUAUUAAUAGUCUCUGCAUUGAAUAUGAAACUAAGCGAGCCUUUUGGUUAUUCAGACAUGACACUCCAUCUCUCACACAUACAUACACAUUCAAUCACGACACGUUUUCAUAAAGAGUGUACCACCAAAUGCGUAACGCCAAAAAGCCACCCGCAGACGAGACCGAGGUGGAAAGUUCUUGGCUUGAACCAUGAAAGGUGUUGGAUGCAGAGAAGAGCUCGACAUCAGUUCCUUAGUCACGAAAAUGGCAUGGGAAUGAUUAGUUGCAACGAUUGAGUCCUUUAAUGUCUUUUCCAGUGACUUUUUUUGUUUUAAGUGUGAGGGGAGUACUUGCUGCCCCAUAAUCCUUUGCGACAAAGCGGGGCGAGAGUGUGAAAGGUUCAGUGGGAGUCAUGUGGUGCUUUUUCAGACAUUCUUUAUACAAAGGCAUAGCACGAUCAAUAACACGAGACCACAAAAAAAAAAAAAGAAUUUGUUUUUCCUAGGAAUAAUAUUAAAACAUAAUCAUUGGUAAAUACAACAAUGAAACAUUUAAUUUCUAUAAGAAAAUAAAAAAGGCAACAUAAAUUCACCCAUUCCAGUGCAGCAAAUCUAAACCCAGCCGAUUAAGUAUUAAAAUCACCUUAACCAGAAUUUACAAUCCUCAGUAUUGAUCAAAUUCUGGCUCUUACUGAACAACGGUGAGGCGUAACCCUGUCGAUAGAAGAAGAGGAAGAAAUAAACACAGAGAGAGAGAGAGAGAGAGAGUUUGUGUGUGUCUCUCUUAAGGGGGCACAAACUUCUGUCCUAAACUGCCCACCUCCACCCUGUGAAUACUUUAGGGCCACCCCUCUUACAAGUUUGGCGUUUUAAGCUCUAUCCCUUUCAAUAGGCAAUAGGUGCGUUUGUGUGCGAGUGUACAAAGAGAACGAAAUGAGUUCAAAAUUAAUUUUCAGCAGAAACACACCA